AUGAAGUGUUUGUGUCUGUCCCUAUCAAAAUAUAGUGCCGUAACCAUUGCUUGUCAUUUGUCAUUAUUAAAGCGAGAAUGCCAGGCUUAUAAAUCAUGCCUUGAUGGUGCAGUGUGCAACAGAAGUUUCAGUAAUAUUUCUAUGCUUAUUACUGAGGUCUGUUCCUGUCAUGACGUGUGAAUCUAAAUGACGCUUUGUGUCUUGCAAACUGAAUCAAUAUUCAAGCUGGUAUGCAACAUCUGAUAUCAGAUACAAGAACAUCCACUGGCUCUAAAAGGAAAACUCUUCAACUCGGAUUUGAUUGCCAGCAAGAGGGACAGAUCAACAUUCCUGCAGGACCAGGCCAACUGUUGACAGGCCACACAGAUGCACAAACAGACACCAAAUAAUCCUGCCUGUACCAUAUGCAGAAUGUGUGGCAGACACUUCCAAAUACAGACUCAUUGAAAAAGAUGACAUGUGGAGUUUUAUUUAGUGCGACUUUGGUAUCCAAAAUGUUGGAAGGCAUUUGAGGAGAUGUUUAUUUGCUUUUAAAGAUUCCAAGUUAAUAUAUUUUAUUUUGGUUUGAGAGUUCUCAUUUCCUGUCAUGUUGGAAGAGAACAAGAUCUCUUUCAAUGUGCUCCUCUGACAGUAUCUGCGUAUUUGUGUGUGUGAGAGAUUCUCAACUUGUGGUUAAGUCAAUAGGAGAAGGGUGUUUGCUAUGGCACAAUGCCCAGACGGCUUGGAGAUAUAAAACACGGUAUGCAUGAACACAAAUCUCAUGGAUCACUCUUUUGUACAGGUAGCAUGUGCAUGCAAAAGUAGAAGCUGUUGACACUUUGUGACACUGCCCUACAUAAACAAAUCUGCUUCAGUGCUCAGAUCUCACCAGCAGAGGAUAAUUUAGACUGUCUGCUUUAGGAAUGCAAACCUCCCAGGAAAUAUAAUCUGCUCUUUUCAGCUCUGAUUUGAUUGCCAAGAACGGGGUACAGGUCAACAUACCAGGACGGCACAGUCACACACAUACACACAAAGCCACAAAUGGAGACAAGACUUUUCAUGACGGCAACCAAACAUACAAACAAACAGAUAUGUGUUAUUGUGGAGGAAUGUGAGGUCACAUUGCAUUCAUUUCUGAAUAUCUGAUCCAAAACUUAACUCUCUUGCACGCUGUGAACAAAGACACACAUACAGAUACAUACCGUAGGUGGAGGGUCAUUUAGACUGUGGGUGACCACCAACCAUCCCAGUGUCUCUAUUCUUUAUAAAGGGCCAAAAUAUCUGUUGUUCGGCAUUGGUCACGAACGACUAGAACAAGACUGAUACUGAACAGGAAUAUAAUUGGGUGCCAUGUGAUUGUUCCAACGGACCAUUAUUCCAAAAACCCCAAUAGUCCAAUAAAUGUCACAAAGGACAGAAAGCGUAUUUGUCCGACAGCCCCUUAUUCCAAAAACAAACGCCCAUUUCUCCAAAGACCUGUUGUUCUGAAAAUACACAAUCUGGUAUGAACGUGCGUACUUAACUGACGUACUUAUUUUAACCCAAACCGUGAUCUUUUCCCUAACCUAACCAAGUACCUUCGAUGCCGAAGACCAAAAAUGUUAAUCACGUGUUUAUUAUUUUUACCAUGACAAUGAAGGUCACCAUGCGUCCUUUCUUGCACGUACAAAACUCCAGGGAGUGUGUGUAUUUUCAGAAAAACAGGCCUUCGGAGCAGUGGGCUUUUGUUUUUGGGAUAAUGGGCUGACAGACAAAUGGGUUUUUGGUCCAAUGGGACAUUUUUCGGACUGUUGGGGUUUCGGAAUAAUGGGCUGUCAGAGCAAUAAUAGCCUCAUAUGUUCAUGAGCUCGUGGAUUUAUUUCUAAACGUUUCCAGCUCCCAAAAACACGAUAAUAUAACUAUAAAUAAAAACAAAAUUUUAUUGCAUUUGUUGGUUAUUUGUUUAUUUUUCUGUUAGUAUCGGUCUUCAAUCAUAAGCUAAGAAAAAUGUGAAUGCUGGUCAGGUGAAUCCUCUUCCAUAACACAGAUGACGAUUUAAUUAACCUGACAAGUCAAAACCACAUAAACCAAGAAACCCUAAAAAAAGUCCUUAAUGCUACCUUAAUGCUGCAAGUCUGAGGACAUGAGAGCAGAGAAACCACAGUAAUAGUUAGUGUUUUCUUUAGUUCUUUUUUUUCUUUUUCAUUGCAGGGUCAGUAUCACCAUCUUCAACAUUUCACAGCGCGGACUUCAAAUAGAAACUGGCAGUUUUGGAGUGAAGCUAAAACCAAGAAUGUUUUGCUGAAAUAAAUAUUUUAUGAAGUUUGAAAUGUGAAAAGGGCAAUAUUUGUGUGUGUGUGUGUGUGUGUGUGUGUGUGUGUGUGUGUGUGUGUGUGUGUGUGUGUGUGUGUGUGUGUGUGUGUGUGUGUGUGUGUGUGUGUGUGUGAGUACAGUGCCAUGGGUCAUUAUGAUAAUUUAAGGCUGCGGCAAAGUUAUUAUUUUCUGCUGAAGUGCAGAUUCAGACACACUGUGAGACCAGAAUGAGAUGUAAUAUGAAGGCUUCUUCUUUCAUUACGUUCUCAAUAUGAAUAGGAAUGCAUAUGUUUAACCAUGAUGGAGGUUUGAAUGUAACAACCCAGUAAUUUUCUUCAGUUUGCUUACAUCCACUAGUAACCCAAAAGAUAAUCAACCCAAAACCCUGACCCAAUAUUUUUCCUUUUUCAGUCAACAAACUGUAUGAUUAAAUAUACAUUUCUG
rnacentral:lncRNA from 15 species